rnacentral:misc_RNA from 1 species
AACGCACAUUGCGCCCCUUGGCAUUCCGAGGGGCAUGCCCGUUCGAGCGUCAUUUCACCAAUCAAGCCCGGCUUGGCAUUGGGUCACGGGGGCGACCCGGACCUCAAUUUCGCCGGCUGGACGACCCUGAUCGCAGCGUUGUGACAUCAAAUUCGCUGGCGGGAUGGGCGUCUGCGCCGUGAAAACCCCAUCAAAGGUUGACCUCGGAUCGGGUAGGGAUACCCGCUGAACUUAA